UGGGGAAUUUUGGACAAUGGGCGCAAGCCUGAUCCAGCCAUGCCGCGUGCGGGAAGAAGGCCUUCGGGUUGUAAACCGCUUUUGUCAGGGAAGAAAUCUUCUGAGUUAAUACCUCGGGAGGAUGACGGUACCUGAAGAAUAAGCACCGGCUAACUACGUGCCAGCAGCCGCGGUAAUACGUAGGGUGCAAGCGUUAAUCGGAAUUACUGGGCGUAAAGCGUGCGCAGGCGGUUUUGUAAGACAGAGGUGAAAUCCCCGGGCUCAACCUGGGAACUGCCUUUGUGACUGCAAGGCUUGAGUGCGGCAGAGGGGGAUGGAAUUCCGCGUGUAGCAGUGAAAUGCGUAGAUAUGCGGAGGAACACCGAUGGCGAAGGCAAUCCCCUGGGCCUGCACUGACGCUCAUGCACGAAAGCGUGGGGAGCAAACAGGAUUAGAUACCCUGGUAGUCCACGCCCUAAACGAUGUCAACUGGUUGUUGGGAAGUUCCUUCUCAGUAACGUAGCUAACGCGUGAAAGUUGACCGCCUGGGGAGUACGGCCGCAAGGUU
rnacentral:rRNA from 1 species